rnacentral:rRNA from 1 species
UGGGGAAUAUUGGACAAUGGGCGAAAGCCUGAUCCAGCCAUGCCGCGUGUGUGAAGAAGGUCUUCGGAUUGUAAAGCACUUUAAGUUGGGAGGAAGGGUUGUAGAUUAAUACUCUGCAAUUUUGACGUUACCGACAGAAUAAGCACCGGCUAACUCUGUGCCAGCAGCCGCGGUAAUACAGAGGGUGCAAGCGUUAAUCGGAAUUACUGGGCGUAAAGCGCGCGUAGGUGGUUAGUUAAGUUGGAUGUGAAAUCCCCGGGCUCAACCUGGGAACUGCAUUCAAAACUGACUGACUAGGGUAUGGUAGAGGGUGGUGGAAUUUCCUGUGUAGCGGUGAAAUGCGUAGAUAUAGGAAGGAACACCAGUGGCGAAGGCGACCACCUGGACUGAUACUGACACUGAGGUGCGAAAGCGUGGGGAGCAAACA